rnacentral:rRNA from 1 species
UUUGGUGGUGGAUGUUGCUGGCCUUUGGGUAUGUGCACAUCCUCCUCCGAUUCCAUUCCUCCCCCUGUUCCCUUUUUUUUAGAAUUUUUUUCUUCGGUUUUUAACAGGGGGUCCUUACUAAUUAACUUGGGAAGGACUAUUUAAAAAGACUUCUAUGUUCUUAUAAACUAUUGAAUUAUGUUAUAAAAGGAUUUUGUUAUGGGAAUUUUUUGGACCCUUUAACUUUAUUACACCUUUCACCACCGAACCCCUGGGUUCUCCCUUCAAUAAAAAACCCACCAAAUGGCAAUAAGUAAGGGGAAUUGCAAAAUUCAUGGAAUCAUCAAACCUUUAAACCCCCCUUGCCCCCUCGGGAAUUCCGAAGGGCAUGCCGGUUUAAUGGCCAUUAAAUUCCCAACUUAAUAAUUUUUUGCUUAUUAAAGCUUGGAUAUUGGAGGCUUGCAGGCGUCUGGUCACCUCUUCUUAAUUGAAUUAUGGGAACCUGUUUGUUAGUUUCACCUUGUUGUAAUAUUACUACAUUUGGUUUAGCAUUCUUACAUAAUCUCGCUCGAUUGUUUGGUGAUGCAUUUACUAGCCGAUCUGUUCACGC